GUUUUUUUUUUACUAUCAUAUUUCCAUCACAAAUAUUUGUGAGAGUCAGGAUGGUGUAAUGAGGUGCUUUUACAGUGGUGAGGGGCAGUACAUCUCCCUUCAAGAACUGAAUAACGACCGAGAGAUACGUUUCGAAAGGUUUUUCUAUCCAUCAACACUUUUUAUCGAUAAUGCUGAACACUUACGCCGAAUUACUAUAGAAUCAGAUUUGGUUGGGAUUUUUAUUGUGUUCAUAAUUUUUUUUUCAGAACCUUCCUCCGACAAAAUAUUUUUUUUCUUAUGAGAAAGAAAGCAAAUUUUUUUUUCCUACAAUGUGGAACAGAAAUACAAUUUUUUUCACAAAACCACAAAAUUAACAUAAAAUUCAUUUUAAUGUUUUAAUUGAUGUAAAAUGUAAAGUGCAUGGCUCUGUCUAUAUCCUGGCAUUGGCUGUUGUCUCAGUUGUUUUUUUUAGCCCACUUUCUACAUUAUGAUAUUCUCGGAGUCCGUCAUACAGGUAUCCUUAAAUUUUAAUACUGCAAUUGAAGUGGCCACCAUUGCCAUAUGUAAUGGCAAAUAGUGAGUAGCUCCAACUUAUAAAAUCGUCUGUUUCCAACUAUGAUAAUUGACAUUCCAUUGAAAAAAGUGGUAUAAAGAAUGAUACAAACGGAAAAUACUACCAGUAUACAAGUCUGUGUCAUACACAAUCAGGGCUAUCUUAAAAGACUGCUUAUGAUACCAUAUCUAUUCCUGUUAUAAAAUGACCAUUUCAUGUUUAUAAUAGUUGCAGUUUUAAGUAUGGUCUUACAUUAGUAACAUAUAUAUGCGGGAG
rnacentral:lncRNA from 1 species